CGCUCGACCUUCUCAAGAUGGCGACAGAAAAGACGGGCAAAAUCGAGGGCCUCCCUCCGUUUACUGGACUGCCUGCGCGGCCCCGGUGGAAUUUUCUGUGGCGAUUCACGUGCUGUGGGCACGGGCUGCGGCCUCAGCGGCGCCGCGGGCGGGCGUGUUUUUGACGGGAGUUGCCAGGGUUUAGUAGGGUCGCCUUUCUCUGCCGAGGGCCUCUCGCGGCCGCCAUCUUGGAAGUGGCGUGUCGCGGACUCGCUUGACCUUCUCAAGAUGGCGGGGGGAAAAAGAGCGGGAAAAACCAGGUUACCCUAUAAUAGCCGAGUGUAGCCGAAGAGCCGAAGAUAGCCAAGUGUAACCGAGUGUAGCCGAGUUUAGCCGAAGUGCCGAAUAUGAUCGACUUUAGCCGAACCGAAGCCGAGUUCAGCCGAACAGCCGAUGAUAGCCGAGUUCAGCCGAAGUGCCGAAACAAGCCCAGCUUAGACCAGCAGCCGAACCAAACCGCCGCUGCACGUACGUGUUUUAAUCGCGUAACCAGGCGGACUCGGGAAAGCCGACAGCCGGAGCAGAUUUCUGUUUGGUCUGUGUCUGUGAGGAGCGGGCUGUGUGCUGGACAGGCAGAGACGCUGUCGGAGCGUGGCGACAGCGCCAGCUGUGAGCUCUGAGGAUGAUGAGGGCUCCGAGCAGCCCCAGCCCUGAGCUGCGAGGAUGAGGAGGGGGCGGCUCCUGCCGGGAGGAGGCUGUUUUAGGGGGGAAGGGGUUGCCUGAGCUCCCUUUUGCCUGGAGCUGCUGAGCAGAGGGGUUUAUGGGGGGCUCCCGACGCUGUCUCGUGGAAGGACGCCGAGAGCUUCUCCGAGGGUCUGGGGGAACACCUGGAUACGCACUUGGAUGCGUGGAGCAUUGCUCAAAGGAGGUGCCGAGGAACAAAGCUCCGUGCCGGGAAGCAGCAGCCGAACGGGUGGUGUUUUUGUUUUAUUGGACGGAGGAAUUUUGCGGGCCGAGGAGCCGGGCGUCCUUAGGAGAAUGCUGUGACCGAGGGACCAGAGCCCGGAGACUGCGGGAAAUUGCCAGCGAGAGAGGCGGCCUUCCUUUGCAGCGGACGUGGAGUCUCAUCCCAGGAUGCUCGAGAGAUAAGUCGAGGGCUGUGCCACGCUGAGGGGAUGGAAGCGAGGUGCUGGGAGGGCCUUUUGAGUAGCUUCUUGGGAGGCAGGGAUGUGCAGGAGAUGGCCCCUUAGGCCACACGGAGGAGAAGUCUCAGCGUGCUGAGGUGCUCAGGGCAGAGCAGUGCCGCUCCCUGCCCGCCAGGCGGCGGCACGAGGUGCCCGAGGGCCCUUUCCAUUCCCUGCCGCUGCUCCUAUGGUUUCGGGGCACAGCUUGGCUCUUUCCUAAAUGAAAACGGUAUAGCAUUGCUUUCAAAACCUCUGGAUGUCUCCUCAGAGUUUCUUAUAUUCCUGUAUAUGUUAAAUUAGAUAUAGCGGGCAUAUUUCAAAAUAAAUUUAUGAAUAAAUUCCAGUGAAUCUCUACCAAAAAUCAGAGGCCCUGAAACACAAGAAGCUGUGCUGCAGGACCUGGUGUGCCCCUGGUUGUACCUCCUGUGCUGUCGGUGCUGCGUGUCAGAGCAGUAGGGAUCGACAAGUCCAAAGAGCUGGAGCUGAACCCCGGAGCCGUUUUGGAGCAGGUGGGUCGAUACCAGCUCCUGGUUUUCAAGACCAAUUCUGUAGUUCCCAGCUACUGAGAGUAUUCUGAGUGCUAAAGGAGAGUACAAAAAGGCCUUGCUCUAUUGCUGGUGUUGCCUGGCAAGACAGAAACAAUAAUUCUGCACACAUGGAAGCACAGGAUGCUUUUUCAGGCUGUUUGUCCGAGUAAGCAACACUCUUACGGCUCCAGGAAGAGGCUGCCCUAUGAUGACAGGUUCAGAAUCUCUGGCACUGGCUCAGGACCAACAGUCAACUCUGGAAAUUCUUCAGAUCCAGCAGCUUAGCAGUUUCCUAUUGGACGAGAAGAGGAAAGUGGAAACUCCUCCAGUGAGCUCAAGAAGACAAGGAACUUUUCAGCAAGACAAUUUUGAUUAUCUAUUUAUGUAGAUGAACAAUAAAGUGGCAGGGCUUCUCCUUUCCUCCCUUCGUUUUUUUUACCUGUGUAUAGAAAACUCAAUCAGUAUACAAACAACGAGUUUCUUUGGUUUGUGUUUAUGCUUGGUAACUUGUAGCUCUAUUCACAUUCUAAACUGGAUUCUUUUCAUUUUAAUGCGUGGUCACUUAUUUUCUUUUGGUUGUCAGGAAAACAAGGGAUCUCUUGCUGGCUGCUAGAAAGAAAUUUCCUAGAGAACAAAGAUACAACCAGUUCCUCCAAACGGGUGCCCAUAGCCAUCCAGCUAUAAAACAGCCAAGAAAGAUGCAAAACUGGUAAACCAUGCUUUUUCCUGCAGAGGCAGAGAGCAAUUCAGUGGUUGCAAAGCUCCUGGAGUGCCAUGUGCCAAAUCACCUUUGUAAUUCGCAUUGUCUUUGCUAGAGUAGAGCAUUUUUGGUUUGUUUCUGGUGGGACCUGAUUGCAUUUUCAGACCAUCUUAUCUGUUGCUCUUACCAUCAGGGGGAAAUAAACCUCAUCUUUGAUCUCAGAGGGAAUUUGGCAGCUAUCCCUGCAGGAGAGGUGGCAGAUGGCAGCGUA